CAAAUAGAUGAAAAAAACCAUUUCUCCAAAAAGGAUUCUUAAGAAAAUUUUGAGUUUCCUUCUAUUUUUGAAGUCUUUGUUGGGAUUUUCAGAGGUUCAAGAAUAGAGUUUUGAUUUCCUUCAUGGCUGUUUUAAGUUAAUUGGUUGCCCUUUCUUGUCGUGGUUUUGUUAUUGUGGUUGAACCUUCAAUUUUUGGACCCAAGCUCACUUGACUGUUGACUGUUUGUUGCUAUUUGUUUCUUCUUCAAAGUUUCAGAAAGUUCUUCUUCUGUUUUUCCUGGUUUCUUUGCUACUACUGCUGUUAAGAUCUAUGGCUCGGAGGUGAACUACCAACAUUGUUAGUCUGGAAUUUAGGAACUUGUUAGGGCCUAGCUCAAUUAAAAUUUUAUAGGCAUUGAAAGUGGUCAUUUGUGUAUUAAAAUGAUACCUCCCUCUGUACUUGUUUUUUUGUAAGUAUAAUGUAUAUGUCAUAUUGAGUAACUUCGUGCUGCUUUAAUUUGGGUUGGUUUACCACUGAUUUCUCAUCAUGUAAAAGAAUGGGAGUUUGAAUGCUUGGGUUUAAGUUGCAAAAGUAGUACGAAGAGUCAUGAAUCUCUAAUUGGAUUUUGUGUUGUAAAA